rnacentral:snRNA from 1 species
GUGCUCACUUUGGCAGCACAUGUACUAAAAUUGGAACGAUGCAGAGAGGAUUAGCAUGGCCCCUGCACAAGGGUGAUGUGCAACUUUGUGAAGUGUUCCAUAUUUAA